UGAGGAAUAUUGGACAAUGGGCGCAAGCCUGAUCCAGCCAUGCCGCGUGCAGGAAGAAGGCGUUAUGCGUUGUAAACUGCUUUUGCCAGGGGAUAAAAAGACCGUGCGCGGUUAAUUGAAGGUACCUGGUGAAUAAGCCACGGCUAACUACGUGCCAGCAGCCGCGGUAAUACGUAGGUGGCAAGCGUUGUCCGGAUUUAUUGGGUUUAAAGGGUGCGUAGGUGGCCCUGUAAGUCAGUGGUGAAAUAUCUCAGCUUAACUGAGAGGGUGCCAUUGAUACUGCAGGGCUUGAGUACAGAUGAGGUAGGCGGAAUUGACGGUGUAGCGGUGAAAUGCGUAGAUAUAGGAAGGAACACCAGUGGCGAAGGCGACCACCUGGACUGAUACUGACACUGAGGUGCGAAAGCGUGGGGAGCAAACAGGAUUAGAUACCCUAGUAUUCCCUGAGCGGGCUGGCAAGGCGCAU
rnacentral:rRNA from 1 species